AGAUGAGAUGGGAUUACUAACUCUAUGAAGCAAAGGCACAGAGGUGCUAGAAGAGGAUUGUAAUGAUGGAUCUUUCUGCCAGCCGCCUGAGUUCCACCCGCUACAACGUUAAAGUCCCAAGUAACACAGAGAGACUUACAUUAGGACACUGGCGGAAUGCAUCCUGUCUUCCUGGCGAUCACAUGACGACUCCACAGAGAAGAGAGGAGAAGGAAGAGAAAGAGCGUGAUUUCCUGCUUGUCCCUGUUUAUAUUCUGAGUCUGCCUACUAUGUCACUUCCUGCCUGGAUCACAAGACUUCUCUUUACUACAUUUCCCAAAAUCCUCCUUGACUCCUAG
rnacentral:lncRNA from 1 species